rnacentral:rRNA from 1 species
UACAGAGGGGCAAGCGUUGUUCGGAAUUACUGGGCGUAAAGGGCGCGUAGGCGGCCUGUUAAGUCGAACGUGAAAUCCCCGGGCUCAACCCGGGAACUGCGUCCGAUACUGGCAGGCUUGAAUCCGGGAGAGGGAUGGCGGAAUUCCAGGUGUAGCGGUGAAAUGCGUAGAUAUCUGGAGGAACACCGGUGGCGAAGGCGGCAUCCCUGGGACCGGGCAAUUGACGCCUG